rnacentral:rRNA from 1 species
UACGUAGGGUCCGAGCGUUGUCCGGAAUUACUGGGCGUAAAGAGCUCGUAGGUGGUUUGUCGCGUUGUCCGUGAAAACUCACAGCUCAACUGUGGGCGUGCGGGCGAUACGGGCAGACUGGAGUACUGCAGGGGAGACUGGAAUUCCCGGUGUAGCGGUGAAAUGCGCAGAUAUCGGGAGGAACACCGGUGGCGAAGGCGGUUCUCUGGGCCUUACCUGACGCUGAGGAGCGAAAGCGUGGGGAGCGAACAGG